GCAGGAGAAGGAGAAGAAGAUGUCAGAGAAGAUGACCGGAGACAGUCCCGUUGAGCACUCCUUUAAGAACAAGGGUAUUGCGAAGACACAGGUGCCCCUUCCUCUAGCACCAAUUCUGUUGGUGCAGAAUUCCGUCGAUGCUGGAGAAGCUGGAGUUAAGAUGACCACGGCCGUCGUCGGGACCUGCAAGGAAAGUCUAAACCAGAGUUGGGGUUGCUCCAGCAAGACCCUCCGAUGCUCAAG
rnacentral:lncRNA from 1 species